UACGUAGGUCCCGAGCGUUGUCCGGAUUUAUUGGGCGUAAAGCGAGCGCAGGUGGUUUAUUAAGUCUGGUGUAAAAGGCAGUGGCUCAACCAUUGUAUGCAUUGGAAACUGGUAGACUUGAGUGCAGGAGAGGAGAGUGGAAUUCCAUGUGUAGCGGUGAAAUGCGUAGAUAUAUGGAGGAACACCGGUGGCGAAAGCGGCUCUCUGGUCUGUAACUGACGCUGAGGUUCGAAAGCGUGGGGAGCAAACAGG
rnacentral:rRNA from 1 species